UGCUUCUCCCCGGCGACGAGUGGCGAACGGGUGAGUAAUACAUCGGAACGUGUCCGCUCGUGGGGGACAACCAGCCGAAAGGUUGGCUAAUACCGCAUGAGUUCUACGGAAGAAAGAGGGGGACCCGCAAGGGCCUCUCGCGAGCGGAGCGGCCGUUGACUGAUUAGCCGGUUGGUGAGGUAACGGCUCACCAAAGCAACGAUCAGUAGCUGGUCUGAGAGGACGACCAGCCACACUGGGACUGAGACACGGCCCAGACUCCUACGGGAGGCAGUAGUGGGGAAUUUUGGACAAUGGGCGCAAGCCUGAUCCAGCUAUUCCGCGUGUGGGAUGAAGGCCCUCGGGUUGUAAACCACUUUUGUAGAGAACGAAAAGACACCUUUUAAAAAAGGGUGUUGCUGACGGUACUCUAAGAAUAAGCACCGGCUAACUACGUGCCAGCAGCCGCGGUAAUACGUAGGGUGCGAGCGUUAAUCGGAAUUACUGGGCGUAAAGGGUGCGCAGGCGGUUGAGUAAGACAGAUGUGAAAUCCCCGAGCUUAACUCGGGAAUGGCAUAUGUGACUGCUCGACUAGAGUGUGUCAGAGGGAGGUGGAAUUCCACGUGUAGCAGUGAAAUGCGUAGAUAUGUGGAAGACACCGAUGGCGAAGGCAGCCUCCUGGGACAUAACUG
rnacentral:rRNA from 1 species